GGUAGUCCACGCCGUAAACGAUGUCAACUAGCCGUUGGGAUCCUUGAGAUCUUAGUGGCGCAGCUAACGCAUUAAGUUGACCGCCUGGGGAGUACGGUCGCAAGAUUAAAACUCAAAGGAAUUGACGGGGACCCGCACAAGCGGUGGAUGAUGUGGAUUAAUUCGAUGCAACGCGAAAAACCUUACCUACCCUUGACAUGUCUGGAAUCCCAAAGAGAUUAGGGAGUGCUCGCAAGAGAACCGGAACACAGGUGCUGCAUGGCUGUCGUCAGCUCGUGUCGUGAGAUGUUGGGUUAAGUCCCGCAACGAGCGCAACCCUUGUCAUUAGUUGCUACGAAAGGGCACUCUAAUGAGACUGCCGGUGACAAACCGGAGGAAGGUGGGGAUGACGUCAAGUCCUCAUGGCCCUUAUGGGUAGGGCUUCACACGUCAUACAAUGGUCGGGACAGAGGGUCGCCAACCCGCGAGGGGGAGCCAAUCCCAGAAACCCGAUCGUAGUCCGGAUCGUAGUCUGCAACUCGACUACGUGAAGUCGGAAUCGCUAGUAAUCGCGGAUCAGAAUGUCGCGGUGAAUACGUUCCCGGGUCUUGUACACACCGCCCGUCACACCAUGGGAGUGGGUUCCACCAGAAGUAGUUAGCCUAACCGCAAGGAGGGCGAUUACCACGGUGGGGUUCAUGACUGGGGUGAAGUCGUAACAAGGUAGCCGUAUCGGAAGGUGC
rnacentral:rRNA from 1 species